GGGGUUGUGGCUCAGCAGUAGAGUACUUGCCUAGUAUGUGCAAGACACUAGGUUCAAUCCUCAGCACCA
rnacentral:tRNA from 1 species